rnacentral:rRNA from 1 species
CCCAGACUCCUACGGGAGGCAGCAGUGGGGAAUAUUGCACAAUGGGCGAAAGCCUGAUGCAGCGACGCCGCGUGAGUGAAGAAGUAUUUCGGUAUGUAAAGCUCUAUCAGCAGGAAAGAAAAUGACGGUACCUGACUAAGAAGCCCCGGCUAACUACGUGCCAGCAGCCGCGGUAAUACGUAGGGGGCAAGCGUUAUCCGGAUUUACUGGGUGUAAAGGGAGCGUAGACGGCAGCGCAAGUCUGGAGUGAAAUGCCGGGGCCCAACCCCGGAACUGCUCUGGAAACUGUGAAGCUGGAGUGCAGGAGAGGUAAGCGGAAUUCCUGGUGUAGCGGUGAAAUGCGUAGAUAUCAGGAGGAACACCGGCGGCGAAGGCGGCUUACUGGACUGUAACUGACGUUGAGGCUCGAAGGCGUGGGGAGCAAACAGGAUUAGAUACCCCCGUAA